AGCGACUGCUCUACAGAGAUAUAUACAAUAUGAGAAUAAUGGUGAACAUACUGUGAGUAGAGCAACAAGAACUACAUUACAGACGCGGCUGCAAGCGGCUUCCGGCAUCCAUGGUUGCCCGGCAACAGAGGGACGCCACCGGACGUGACUCAACCACCGGAGCCGCCCGGAUGUCCAGCCCACAGCCUGCAGACGGGAGCCAGCGCGAAGGGGCUAUUUCAGACACCUUUAAAAAGCUAAAGUCAAUAGGAAUGGAAGUCAAAUGGUUAGGGCCAAACCGACAGAGGACGUGGAAGGGGAGGAUCGUAGGUGCAUGCACAGCCAGCCGAUGUGGCUUCCGGGACACAUCUCCUAUAUGUAUACUUUACUGAAUACCAUCUCAAGACAUUGUCUGCACAGGGAGACUCCCCCGAUGCAAAGAAACCACCAA